rnacentral:rRNA from 1 species
UACCAGCACCCCGAGUGGUCGGGACGAUUAUUGGGCCUAAAGCAUCCGUAGCCGGUUCUGCAAGUCUUCCGUUAAAUCCACCUGCUCAACAGAUGGGCCGCGGAGGAUACUACAGGGCUAGGAGGCGGGAGAGGCAAGCGGUACUCAGUGGGUAGGGGUAAAAUCCUCUGAUCCACUGAAGACCACCAGUGGCGAAGGCGGCUUGCCAGAGCGCGCUCGACGGUGAGGGAUGAAAGCUGGGGGAGCAAACCGG